CGGGGUGAGUAACGCGUGGAUAACCUGCCUCACACUGGGGGAUAACAGUUAGAAAUGACUGCUAAUACCGCAUAAGCGCACAGUACCGCAUGGUACAGUGUGAAAAACUCCGGUGGUGUGAGAUGGAUCCGCGUCUGAUUAGCCAGUUGGCGGGGUAACGGCCCACCAAAGCGACGAUCAGUAGCCGACCUGAGAGGGUGACCGGCCACAUUGGGACUAAGACACGGCCCAA
rnacentral:rRNA from 1 species